rnacentral:tRNA from 1 species
GAGAGGGUUAUAAGAUCUGCUAACUCUUCAACCUGGUGUUAAUCACCCAGCCCUCUCUACCA